UACGGAGGGUGCAAGCGUUAUCCGGAUUUACUGGGUUUAAAGGGUCCGUAGGCGGUUUUGUAAGUCAGUGGUGAAAGCCCAUCGCUCAACGGUGGAACGGCCAUUGAUACUGCAAGACUUGAAUUAUUAGGAAGUAACUAGAAUAUGUAGUGUAGCGGUGAAAUGCUUAGAGAUUACAUGGAAUACCAAUUGCGAAGGCAGGUUACUACUAAUGGAUUGACGCUGAUGGACGAAAGCGUGGGGAGCGAACAGG
rnacentral:rRNA from 1 species